rnacentral:lncRNA from 1 species
UAGCUUGUUGUUUUCUAUUUAAACUCUUGUAUGUUUCAUUUCAAAUCAUUCAACCCUUUUUAAUAAAAUCUACUUUUAAAUUUGUUGAAUCCUUUGUUCUUUGGAACAUCGUAAUGCUAGGAGAGUGAUCUCCGUAAGCACGGUCUUGUUCACUAGUGGGGCUGCCUCUCACGGACUAAGACUAACGAAGCAAGUAUUUGGCCUUCCGCAGCCUUAUACUGAAGAAUCAUCGAUCCACCAUUCCUUUGAUCGUUCUUUUGGAUCAAAGCUUAUCCAUUUCACCAACCUUCGAAUGCAUUCCUUGGGAGAUUUUCAUCAGGUGGCCUCCAUAUAAGAGAAUGUGAAGCAUCUCGUUUUUUCUUGGAAAACAAGACACGUGAGGAGUAGAAACAUGAUUUUUUAUCCUGUGUUGGUCCACUCGGGUUUAGUCUUGGUAACGUUGACGAGCUGGUCACAAACAAGUCUAUAUCACACAUGUAUUGCUUUGGCUUAACUAGAUAUGUAAAUACAAAAAAAAGUUAGUCUUUUCUAGAGUCGAACUUAGGAUAUGGACAUUAGAACUUUUCUCUUUUAACAUUAGACCAUGAUGAUUUAUCAAUAUUUUUUGCAAAUCAUUCAUUAAUAUAGACAUUGUGGAAGAAGAAGGAUUUGGUCAAUCUUUUGCAAAAAUAAGAAAAGGAAAGUAAUUGUUGUGUAUCAAGAGAAAGAGAAAAUUGGUUGUUCUUAUUAUUCCAUAGAUAAUAGUACAUAUAUAUACGGAUACAAAGCUAGGGUUCUAGAACCCUAGACCAUAGGCUUAAUGGGCCUAAUGGAC